CCCGCCGCUCCCGGUCCCGCCGCUCCCGGCGCUUCCUGCGCGGCCUCGGGCGGGGCCUUUCCCGGGGCAAGGUCCGGCCCGGGCGGGGCCGUUCGUACCGGGGGAUGGGGGAUGCGGGGCCCGGGGCUGCCGGAUCGGGGGUGCGGGACCGGGCCGAGGAACGGGACAGGAACCGGGACCGGGGGGGUUCGGGCCCCUCCUGCGCAAUUUGCCCUUAUAUGGGCAUGGCGCGCGCCGGCCGCGCAUUCCUGCGGGGCGGGGCCGGCGGGUCCCGGAGCGCUCCCGGUUCCGCGGGACCCGCCGGGCUCCUCCCGCUCCCCCGGGAUCCAUCGGGCCCGAGCAGCAUCCCCGAGGGCGGAGGCCCGAUCUGCAUCCCGGCCGGUGUCGGGUUCCACCGGGAACCGGAUCCCGCCGGGAAACCGGAUCCACCGGGAAACCGGAUCCACCGGGAACCGGAUCCACCGGGAACCGGAUCCCGCCGGCGAGCGAAACCCGAGCCGGGGCCGAGGGGGGGCUCUGAAGGGGUCCCGGGAUGCGGCUGUGGGGUCCCCGCGGUGCCGGGGCUGCAGCGGGGUGGGAGAGCCGGCGGGUCCCGGAGGAACAAACCCGGGGGUCUCGGGGGUCCCGGAGGUGCUGGCGUGGGGGUCCCGGUGUCCCGGGAGGUCCCGGCUGUACCGGAGUCGGGGUGCCAUGGGGGUCCCGGCACGUUCAGGGUCCCGGUGCCCCGGUGGUCCCGUGCACAGGGAGGGUCCCGGUGGUCCCGGCGCUGACCCGGGGUGGUCCCGGUGGUCCCACACUGACCCGGGGGGAUCCCGGUGAUCCCGGCACUGACCCGGGGGGGUGGUCCCGGUGUUCCCGGUGGUCCCGCACUGACCGGGGGGUGUUCCCGGUGUUCCCACACUGACCCGAGGGGGUGUUCCCGGUGGUCCCGGCCCUGACCCGGGGUGGUCCCGGUGGUCCCGCACUGACCGGGGAUGUUCCCGGUGGUCCCGCACUGACCCGGGGAUGUUCCCGGUGGUCCCGCACUGACCGGCGGUGGUCCCGGUGUUCCCACACUGACCGGGGGGGUGUUCCCGGUGGUCCCACACUGACCGGGGGGGUGUUCCCGGUGUUCCCGCACUGACCGGGGGGGUGUUCCCGGUGGUCCCGCACUGACUGGGGGGGUGUUCCCGGUGUUCCCGCACUGACCCGGGGUGGUCCCGGUGGU
rnacentral:lncRNA from 1 species